rnacentral:rRNA from 1 species
AUGGAUAUCAACUUCAAAGUUAUUUUCUGGAAUGUCCGGGGCCUUAACAACCGGGCUAAGCACGCAGCCAUUCGCUCUGUUAUCGCUUCCGUGUCUCCCUCUAUUGUGUGUCUUCAGGAGACCAAGCUCUCCUCGGUCUCUCCGGUUCUCAUCUUUGAGACUCUUAGUAGCCCCUUCGAUGGGUUCUACUUCCUCCCGGCGAUAGAUACCCGGGGUGGAAUCAUUCUUGCUUGGCAGAGUAGCUUGUUAUCCCUUACCAGCCCGUCGGUCGGCGAACACCGCGUCUCCGUUGCGGUGAGCUCCCCCCUGGGUGGGCCUCAUUGGUGGCUAACCGGGGUCUAUGGUCCCCAAGGCGAUGACGCGAAGCUGACCUUUCUCGUCGAGCUCCGGAUCUCCGCACUAGCAUUGCUGGCCCUUGGCUUCUUGGGGGUGACUUUAAUAUGA